ACGGGGAGCAGCAGGCGCGAAAAUUUCCGCAAUGCGGCCAAGCGGGACGGAGUGACUCCUAGUGCCGGUGGUCUAGCGACGUUCGGCUUUUUUGGAAUGUAAAAAGUUCCAGGAAUAAGGGCUGGGUAAGACUGGUGCCAGCCGCCGCGGUAACACCAGCAGCUCAAGUGGUAGCCGCUUUUAUUGGGCCUAAAGCGUCCGUAGCCGGGCCGGCAAGUCCCUUGUGAAAUCGGGCGGCUUAACCGUUCGGCUUGCAAGGGAAACUGUUGGUCUUGGGGCCGAUAGGCGUCGAGGGUACUCCGGGGGUAGCGGUGAAAUGCUAUAAUCCCUGGGGGACCGCCGGUGGCGAAAGCGCUCGACGAGGUCGGACCCGACGGUGAGGGACGAAGGCCAGGGGAGCGAACCGGAUUAGAUACCCGGGUAGUCCUGGCUGUAAAGGAUGUGGACUAGGUGCUGGGUGUUCCUCGAGAAUGCUCGGUGCCGAAGGGAAGCCGUUAAGUCCACCGCCUGGGAAGUACGGCCGCAAGGCUGAAACUUAAAGGAAUUGGCGGGGGAGCAC
rnacentral:rRNA from 1 species